rnacentral:rRNA from 1 species
UACGUAGGGGGCAAGCGUUGUCCGGAAUCAUUGGGCGUAAAGAGCGUGUAGGCGGCCCGAUAAGUCCGCUGUGAAAGUCCAGGGCUCAACCCUGGAAUGCCGGUGGAUACUGUCGGGCUCGAAUCCGGAAGAGGUGAGUGGAAUUCCUGGUGUAGCGGUGAAAUGCGCAGAUAUCAGGAGGAACACCGAUUGCGAAGGCAGCUCGCUGGGACGUUACUGACGCUGAGACGCGAAAGCGUGGGGAGCAAACAGG